rnacentral:snRNA from 2 species
AUACCUUUCUCGGCCUUUUGGCUAAGAUCAAGUGUAGUAUCUGUUCUUAUUAGUUUAAUAUCUGAUUAGUGGCCCAAUGGGUAUUAAAUUUUUGAGGGGGAGAGGCUUUUUCAAUAGCUUGCUAUUGGGCUUCUCAAAUUUUGCCUAUGCAUUGCGGGUUGGCGAACCCUAC